UUCUGGGAGUCCCCCUUGUUAUAGGGCAACAGAAAUGAGCUACUUAUUUUUCUUCCUUUCUCUUGUCUCUUCUCUCCCAUGUGUCCUCUCUGCUGUGCAGCUGGUUGAGUCUGGCCCAGGGGUGGUGAAGCCUGCAGAGACCCUCACCCUGACCUGCACUGUCACAGGCGACUCCAUCACCACCAGGGGUUACGGUUGGAGCUGGAUCCGGCAGCCUCCUGGGAAAGGGCUGGAGUGGAUGGGGUACAUAGCUGGAAGCAGUGAUAGCACAGGCUACAACCCAUCCCUCAAGAGCCGCAUCACCAUUUCCAAGGACAACUCCAAGAACCAGUUCUCCCUGCAGCUGCGCUCUCUGACAGCCGCAGACACCGCCACGUAUUACUGUGCCAGAGGCAACAGCUACACACUGGUUGAGUCUGGCCCAGGGGUGGUGAAGCCUGCAGAGACCCUCACCCUGACCUGCACUGUCACAGGUUCCUCCAUCAGUGGUGGUUACGGUUGGAGCUGGAUCCGGCAGCCUCCUGGGAAAGGGCUGGAGUGGAUGGUGAACAUAUAUGGAUACAGUGAUACCACAAACUACAACCCAUCCCUCAAGAGUCGCAUCACCAUUUCCAAGGACACCUCCAAGAACCAGUUCUCCCUGCAGCUGCGCUCUCUGACAGCCGCAGACACCGCCACGUAUUACUGUGCCAGAGACACAGUGACACAGAGCAGAGCAGGGGCUGCAUAAAAAGGGGAAGCCUGUUCUUCUUAAUGUAGCAAAAUUACAACUGCCCAGACAAGGAAUUUUCCACCUGAAAACCUCACACACAUGGAGGGAAAUUCUCAUAGGAUCAUCCUUGGCCAUCUGAGGGUUGUUAUAAUUGGACUUAUAACAUUGCAGACAGCAAAGGCCUGAGAGCUUCGCUGGGCAUUUGACAAAACAUAGG